AGCGUCUUUUAAUUUCAUGGCUGCAAUCACCAUCUGCAGUGAUUUUGAGUUUCAAAUAUCCAACUCAGGGCUAAACAGGCUGAGGAUGCACUGUCUAGGACAUAUACAUCUAAUUAGGACAUGAGAAGCAUUAGCAAUGCACUGGGACAGUGAAGGAGAUGGAGCUGAGGAUCUCAAUCCCUACAAAGGAUAAGUAAGUACAGAGUUAAGUUAAGCUUUGGCACCUUAGUAAUGUCAGUGAAGGCUUGGUUUCUUUUCUCUUUUCUACUAUGCUUUGCACAGGGUCAGUCAUUUAAACACUUUCCCCUUCAUUGUGGCAAAAUAACUGCAGCAGCUCCAACCCUCACUUUCUUACAGCACACCAUCCCUUUGAAGCCACAGGCCUAAAAUCCCCCUAGAUGAUAUCAGCCUGGGUCAUGUGUCCACACUUUAACCAGGAAUUUGAAUGUAGUGGUUGGCUUGAUUUACUCAGGAACCACCUCUGGACCUGGGUGCAGGGGGAGUGCAAUGUCAGCUUCCUAAAAGCACCUGUGAUUUGUAAGGAAGAAGAAAACAGACUGAAAAUCUCAGUAGUGUUAGAGUAGGCAAUUGGAUGCUAGGUCAUUGUGAAAAUAACCAACCCCUUUUCUCUUAAUUAAAAAACACGAUAUGAUUUUCUGCACCCAGGACAUCUGCUCAGAGCUGUGGCUUAUCCACUUAAAAGUCAGGGCCACACUCCCUGGUGAUGAGGAUCACCUCGGGUACUUGAUAAAGAUGCAGCUCUUCAGCUUCCUCCCCUGAAGCGUCUAUUCAGUGGGUUUUGGAUGGGGCCUGAGAUUUUUUAAUUCAACACAUUCUCCAGGUGCCGCUUGUGAGACCAUCACACUCCACAAACAAUCCCAGCGCCUGCUCUUCCCGCUCCUGAAAGCACGAUAGUGCCUCAUGUCUGCAAAGAUCUUCAAGAGGCACCGGAAAACAUUUGAAAUACGGCAGUGCAAUACAGAGCUGGAUGCCCUCAUGGGUGCCCAGACGUGCUGCAAUGAUCCCUCGGCUCUCUCCAGUGCAAAGCCAGCAUACGGGAGCCAGUGGGGGAAGAAUAAGCUGGAUGGUUCCCGUGAGUCCUUGACCUCUCCGGUCGUGUACUGGGAAAGAUAUGGGGAAAAGAAUGCUUCAUCUGCUAGAAAUGAUGAGAAGAAAUCCUUGCCUCUGCCUCCCCCAGAACCUGCCCAAGGGCCCCCUCCCCAUUCUUGGCCUGCCUAGAAGCCCCCCUGGGCCACUGCGCCUCUGUGUCUAGUUGUAACAGUUCAUCCUUGGCCGGCAGCGGACAGCCCAGUUGCUGGCAGCUCCAAACUGCAGGAGGCUAAUAAAACGAGCGCUAAUGAAUGACUGGCUCUGCGAUAAUACUGAACUCUCAGAUUUAUUCACGUUGAUGAUUUGCGUGGAGUAGACCAAAGGGACUCUUAGCGGUGUAAUGAGGAGAUAAAACUCUGAUGAAUGAAGCAUUACUUUGUUGCUUAAGGAAUACUGCCUAAUUAAGGAGGUUGUUGACCCUAAUAGAAAUGACGUUGCCAAGGUGAAGCAGAUAGCAAUGCCGGACCAGAGAGAGAGUUCCUUGCUCACAGCAGACUCUUCUGCCAACAGAGGACCUAACUUUGGUUUUGGUAAAGUUUAUAAAUGAGCUUUGUUAAUGGGGCUUUUUAACCUGGGAAUGGAGCUAGAUCUGAGGAGGGCUAGGUGUCAGAUUUUGCCCAUAUACAGGCUUCCUCGUUAAGUGAAAGAGACCAGGACAGAAUCAGGGAAGGGGUCUCCACCUUUCUCCCCUCCCUUCAGGAUGUGCUGUUGCUCUGCUGGGUGUCCAAGCGUGCAGGGCCAGAUAAAGAACUUCCAGAGUGCAAACACCAAAGAAACACGGCCCUCCAUGAUGCUUUUAAAGCAUCUGCCAGUAAUGCGGGAGACCCGGGUUUGAUCCCUGGGUCAGGAAGAUCCCCUGGAGANNNNNNNNNNNNNNNNNNNNNNNNNNNNNNNNNNNNNNNNNNNNNNNNNNNNNNNNNNNNNNNNNNNNNNNNNNNNNNNNNNNNNNNNNNNNNNNNNNNAGAAGGAACUGGCAACCCACUCCAGUAUUCUUGCCUGGAGAAUCCCAAGGCCAGAGGAGGCUGGUGGGCUACAGUCCACAGGGCCACAAAGAGUUGGACACGACUGUGCGACUUCACUUUCACUUUCCAUGAUGCAUAAUUUAAAAUAAAUGUACUAGUAAACUUUAAAAUUAAUUCAAGAAAUUCUAAAGAUGUUCUGAUUUUUUUUUCUACUAAAGCUUCGAUGCAUCUUUUUGAAAUAGCAAAUUCUUUCUUUCAAAGGCUAUUUUAGUUCCCCUUGGAUAAGCCAGCUCUGCGGAUAAGCGAGAGAGAGAGAGAGAGAGAGCCAGGACUGACACCAACAGCCCCAAGUUCCAGGCCUUGGCUCUGCUCCUCCAGUGUCUAAGGGAGCUUGGGCAAGUCAGGUAACCUUUAUGGCUCUCAGAAAGGUCAUCCAGAAACUAAUGGUUCCUCACUAGGCAGUUCUGGGGGUCAAAUGAAAUGUCAAAGUGCUUCAUAAACUUUGAAACGCGAUGUAGGUUCACAGAGGAGGCCUUGCAUGAUAUUCAUCAUGCAAAUGCUUGACACAAGGACUGACAUCCCAACACUAUCCACUGCUGAGGUACAGGACUUAAAAUUCUGUCCCCACGCCAAAACUCCUUAUCAUUAAUAUAAGCACUUCUUCCUGCCAGAAGGGAAAGGUCUGCCCCCUCCUGAGGGUCUGAUCCCCUCAAGAACUCACCAUAUUUGCAGAUGCAAUGCAAAUAGAUGGCAAAAUGCAACUGCAAAUUUUGCAAUAAAUGAGGGAUUUCAUGAAGUCGAUGAAAGUGAUGUUGGGGACUGCACAGUUCAGUGAACUAAGACACUCACCAAGGAGUAUGGGCAGAAGAAGGCAGCUACCAACAGAGAGGAAAAGUGCAAGGUCAGUGCUGCAUCAGAGAAAACCAUUUGAAAGGCAAAAGCUUUUUAAGGGGCUUUUCAGGAAAUGAUAAAAGCUCAAGCAUUUUUUAAAAUUACUAGUUUUUGGAUUGUGCUACAAAAGUUAAAUGUGAAGAAUUUAGUAUUACGUAAUCAUAUGAUUUUGCUGGAAAAUUUUCACAUGGAAACAUGUUCAUUCGUUCUUCUUUUUUUUUAGUUGUAAUUUUAUUUUUUUAUUUUUUUUCAAUUUUUUUUAAAAUUUUACUUUACAAUACUGUAUUGGUUUUGCCAUACAUUG
ensembl:lncRNA